CGAACGGCAGCGCGGGGCAACCUGGCGGCGAGUGGCGAACGGGUGAGUAAUAUAUCGGAACGUACCCUGGAGUGGGGGAUAACGUAGCGAAAGUUACGCUAAUACCGCAUACGAUCUACGGAUGAAAGUGGGGGAUCGCAAGACCUCAUGCUCGUGGAGCGGCCGAUAUCUGAUUAGCUAGUUGGUGAGGUAAAGGCUCACCAAGGCGACGAUCAGUAGCUGGUCUGAGAGGACGAUCAGCCACACUGGAACUGAGACACGGUCCAGACUCCUACGGGAGGCAGCAGUGGGGAAUUUUGGACAAUGGGCGCAAGCCUGAUCCAGCAAUGCCGCGUGAGUGAAGAAGGCCUUCGGGUUGUAAAGCUCUUUUGUCAGGGAAGAAACGGUAGGAGCUAAUAUCUCUUACUAAUGACGGUACCUGAAGAAUAAGCACCGGCUAACUACGUGCCAGCAGC
rnacentral:rRNA from 1 species